rnacentral:lncRNA from 1 species
AGCUGUGGAACCGUUGUAUUACAAACGCCUUCUUCUUGAGAUGUGUAACAUUGUUGCACAUCCUCUUUCAGUUAAUUUGCGUCAAGAUAUUGAACACCUCAGUAAUAUCUAUACGUCGGUAAUACACGAUUCUUAGUUCCCCUAAGUUACCUAUUGUGCAUAUCUCUACUUUAUCAUCAAAAUUGUCCUGUUUUCGCUUCUAUGUUCCUAGGUCAUAUCUAUGUCUCCUACUUGCCGGUAAGCCUUCUUCUAGUCCGACCAUUGUUGUGUCAACGUCUCUAACGGUCAUCUAAAUUCAAUGUCGUGCCUUCCUUGCCAUUAAUUUUGCUCCAUGAUGUGUGCUUGGAAGUUCCGUAUUGCACUGUAUAAUGUAAUAGUGUAUUUUAUAAUUUUAUUCUAUAAAACUGUUUCAUCGGCAUGUUCCAUAUCAUGCUUUUUUAUCCAAAAAAUUGUUGCAUCAGUAUCGCCCGGCACUAGCUGUUGCGAAUGUGGAGAGUAUCGGAAGUUGGAGCUUUCGUAGUUGCGGCUACAGAGAUACAAUUAUCAGCGGUUGCGCCUGACGUCAACGCGGAACUGAUUAUCUUUGGUGGAAACGGCUGCUGACAUCUCCCAAGCAGCACAUUUUGAAAAGCCGUCAGAAAGAAAGUCCAGAAGCACAUCAGAAACUCGAUUUUUCUGCCUGUUGAGCUUUUUUUCGCGUUUGAGAUACUUGGACUUCGGUAUUUGUAGAUACAAAUCGACCAAGGCACAUUCUUUAUUCGAGGAAUAUGUAUGUAUUUAUGUAUUUUACGAGCCGACAAGACAGCGACAAAUUGUAGAACUGCUGAAAAAAAUUGUUUUGCUGUUAGGCGCUUACUACUAAUCUUAUAAAAUAAUUUAUUUUAACUGACAUCGUAACUGUGAUAAAACAUUAUGUUGAAGGAGUGUUACAUACUAAUACCGCGCAAAAGUACUUCCUAUUUAUACCACAUUUUGCAUGCACCUUAUCUCAUUCCAUGUUUUAGAAGUACAUUAAUAUUUUACAAAUAAACUAUUGUCAAACAUUAAAAAAAAACAUUCAGAUAAAUAUAAUGUGAUGCACUAGAGAAAUAUAGUUAUUGCGACACAUGUUCCUCAACUUCUCUGAAAAAUUUUUCGGAUGAGAAUCUACUUUUACAGGAAAAAGAAUGUCCUAUUUUUCGUAUGAAACUUAUCAACUGAAUUUUUCUGUAAUAUUCUCAAAAUUUUACUGUGUUUUUUUAUUCAUAUUUGUGUCCUGAGACUAACAAGGAGAGUAUUAGACAAUCGAAUCUGAUGAACAUAUUUUCAGCCAAAAGAAUGUUCCUGGAAUUUUCAGUGAAAUCUGUGAUCCGAGGGUCAAUACUCUUGUAGGCACGACACUUUUUUACACCAGUUCUGUUAUCCGGUGAAGGGUAGCUAAAAUCUACCUAAUUUUUGAUGCAGGACCCUUUUCUUAACUAUCGGCACCCAAAUGUUUCGACUUUUCUGUGGGCAGGAGUAUCGUGUGCAAUAUUGCCGUGUGCAUUGAAGUUUCUGUGUGCAAACGUACUGUACACUAUUGCCAAAAUUAUUGUGUGCAAACAGGCCAUGCUAACAGGCCGUGUAGGAAUGGUUUACAAAAGUGCCUUGGGCUGAUAGACUGUGUCCAAAUGAUACACAAAAUUGAAUGUUCCGCGUUUAGAAAAAUAUGUCUUCUCCAACGUGUAGCAUUACUUGACAACUAGUUACAAAGUAGAUAUGCAAGUAUGAAUAUGCAUAGAGUUGUAGAAAGGCCGUAUUACAUUGAUGUGUAUUAUUAUUUUAUUACUCUAAUUAACAUAUUACUUAAUACUACGUCUAUACCAAUCAUUUACAUAUGUGGUCAGUGACAAUAACGCGCUAUAUACUGAAUCUCUUCAUAACUAAAUCCUAUGAGGUAAUCCUUUUAUGUUAUGCACAAUAUAUUUAACACAAUGCAAAUUGAUAUUUGAUUAAUAUAUUUAUAAUUUAUAAACAUUCACCUUUGGCAAUUAGGAUGUGCCGUAUG